rnacentral:rRNA from 1 species
GAUGAACGCUGGCGGCGUGCCUAAUACAUGCAAGUCGAGCGAACAGACGAGGAGCUUGCUCCUCUGACGUUAGCGGCGGACGGGUGAGUAACACGUGGAUAACCUACCUAUAAGACUGGGAUAACUUCGGGAAACCGGAGCUAAUACCGGAUAACAUGUUGAACCGCAUGGUUCAACAGUGAAAGACGGUUUUGCUGUCACUUAUAGAUGGAUCCGCGUCGCAUUAGCUAGUUGGUAAGGUAACGGCUUACCAAGGCAACGAUGCGUAGCCGACCUGAGAGGGUGAUCGGCCACACUGGAACUGAGACACGGUCCAGACUCCUACGGGAGGCAGCAGUAGGGAAUCUUCCGCAAUGGGCGAAAGCCUGACGGAGCAACGCCGCGUGAGUGAAGGAGGUCUUCGGAUCGUAAAACUCUGUUAUUAGGGAAGAACAAAUGUGUAAGUAACUAUGCACGUCUUGACGGUACCUAAUCAGAAAGCCACGGCUAACUACGUG